AUUGAACGCUGGCGGCAGGCCUAACACAUGCAAGUCGAACGAGUGGCGGACGGGUGAGUAAUGUCUGGGAAACUGCCUGAUGGAGGGGGUUAACUACUGGAAACGGUAGCUAAUACCGCAUACCAUCAGAUGUGCCAAGGUGGGAUUAGGUUGUUGGUGGGGUAACGGCUCACCAAGGCGACGAUCCCUAGCUGGUAUGAGAGGAUGACCAGCCACACUGGAACUGAGACACGGUCCAGACUCCUACGGGAGUCAGCAGUGGGGAAUAUUGAACAAUGGGCGCAAGCCUGAUGCAGCCAUGCCGCGUGUGUGAAGAAGGCCUUCGGGGUGUAAAGUACUUUCAGCGGGGAGGCGUUACCCGCAGAAGAAGCACCGGCUAACUCCGUGCCAGCAGCCGCGGUAAUUC
rnacentral:rRNA from 1 species